UUGGUGGUGUUUGGAUCUUACAAC
rnacentral:miRNA from 1 species